rnacentral:rRNA from 1 species
UACGAAGGGGGCGAGCAUUGUUCGGAAUUACUGGGCGUAAAGGGUGCGUAGGCGGAUAGGAUAGUCAGAUGUGAAAGCCCAGGGCUCAACCCUGGAAUUGCAUUUGAUACUGCUUGUCUGGAGUAUUGGAGAGGAGCGUGGAAUUCCCAGUGUAGAGGUGAAAUUCGUAGAUAUUGGGAGGAACACCAGUGGCGUAGGCGACGCUCUGGCCAAAUACUGACGCUGAGGCACGAAAGUGUGGGGAGCAAACAGG